rnacentral:rRNA from 1 species
UACAGAGGGUGCGAGCGUUGUCCGGAAUUACUGGGCGUAAAGCGCACGUAGGCGGUCUACUAAGUCAGGGGUGAAAUCCCGGGGCUCAACCCCGGAACUGCCUUUGAUACUGAUAGUCUCGAGUCCGGAAGAGGUGAGUGGAAUUCCGAGUGUAGAGGUGAAAUUCGUAGAUAUUCGGAGGAACACCAGUGGCGAAGGCGGCUCACUGGUCCGGUACUGACGCUGAGGUGCGAAAGCGUGGGGAGCAAACAGG